CAGUAGCCGCGGUAAUACAGAGGGUGCGAGCGUUAAUCGGAUUUACUGGGCGUAAAGCGUGCGUAGGCGGCUUCUUAAGUCGGAUGUGAAAUCCCUGAGCUUAACUUAGGAAUUGCAUUCGAUACUGGGAAGCUAGAGUAUGGGAGAGGAUGGUAGAAUUCCAGGUGUAGCGGUGAAAUGCGUAGAGAUCUGAAGGAAUACCGAUGGCGAAGGCAGCCAUCUGGCCUAAUACUGACGCUGAGGUACGAAAGCAUGGGGAGCAAACAGGAUUAGAUACCCCUGUAGUCCCUGUCUCUUAUAC
rnacentral:rRNA from 1 species